AAAAGUUUAACGAGGCAAAAUGUGGAUUACAGUAGUUCAACUCUUGUUUCUUGUCCUCUUGUUUUUUUCUUUUCUUUUUUU
rnacentral:ribozyme from 1 species